rnacentral:lncRNA from 1 species
AUUAUGUCUGAUCUGAUAAGAUUUUUGCUUUUUAUUUUUUAUCAUUUAUUGAAUUUACCUCAUAUUUCUUAGUCCAAGUCAAAUUUUUUCAACUUUGUAAGUAGUUUAUACUUGAGGUUGAUUGUUAUAUACAGACAGAUGUUAAAGUUUAUGUUGUUAGCCAGAAGAAAAAGCUUUUCUUUCUUUAGUUUCUGUACAGUAUUCUUUUUUAUUCUCACACCAAGCAUUUUUAGAGAUUAUAGGUACCUGCUAUUGAGCUCUCAAAAUAAGAUGGGAUCUAUGUUAUUAUCAACUAAACUUUUAUUCACAAAAUUUGCUGUAUAAUGAAAUUAUUUUCAUUUGACUAGAGUUAGAAUUUGUCAUCGUGCCAUAAUUAGGAAUCUUUAAAAGGCAUAUUAUAGGCCCUCAUGUUACUUCAUAAUGCUAACUGGAUUAUAAUAAUAAUAUAUUGCUAUAACAUGUAUUAUCAGAGUUUGAAUAUAUCACCACACAUCCUUUAUGCAAAGAUUGAGAACAUAUGACCUAAUUUCUACAUAAAGUAUGAUAAAUGUAAAAUGUUGUUUUGAUUUUACAUACUUUACAUGAAUUGCAUACACCAGGAGUAACUAGUAAAGUUGAGUGUACAAAAGUGAAAGUGAGUCGAUCGUAGACAAAGAGUACAGAUUUGGUGAGAGUUUAUUAGAGUAAGAAUGAAAACAAAAUAAAAAUGUAAAUUUUAGAAAUAUAAAGAUAUAUGUGAAAACGGCAUAACUGAUAUGUAUGAAACAUGAAGUAUAAAGAAAGUAUAAAGAAGGCAGAAACUAACACUGGUAAUCUCUAAUAUCAGAAAUUAUCUGUAUAUUUACUAUUUUUAAAGUUUUUAUAUAAAGUUAUAUGUAUGUAAAAUAUGUGCGAUAUAUAUAAUUUAUUACAAAGUUUCAUGUGGAAUGUUAAAAUUAUCCAAUUUUUGAGGCAUCAUUAAAGUGACUCAAGCAGAAAAGGUGUAAUCUGGACUGUCCUAAAAAUCUG